rnacentral:lncRNA from 1 species
GGUCAGAUUUCCUUUCAGCAUUCUAUUUUUAUGUGAGUUUUGAUUGUUUUGGCCUGGGAAACUCUCACUCCAGUAAUACAUUUAUUUACAGCUCUCUGUGCUGGAGGGACACGGAAUAGAUGCUUCCAGAAGUCCCAUCACCUGCUCUGGUCCCUCGGUGGCAGGAAGCGUUGCUGAAGCUCUGGCUGAACCCAAGCAGUGACGUGGUGGGGAAAGCACUCGAGUGCGCUCCUUCCCUUCAGGUUUUCUUGGACCUCUGGAUCACGGUGUGCUGUCCUCUGCAGACCCCAGCAGCUCAGGAGCAGCACUCUGUCACCUGCCCUUUUCCACCUGAUCCCUGUCCCUGGGCUCAGCAGAAUUCUGUGCAGAAAACACUGCGAAUCUGCUGGCACAUGGAGAAUAAACGAGCAUUGGAGAAGGUAAAUUCAAAUUGUUUAAAAUCUGUGGGAUGGGCGGGGUAAAAAUACUGCUUAGGAAAUUACAGUGCACCAUUACACCCACAGUUUGGCUGGGAAUCCUGUUAAAUGUAGUUCUUAAACACAGCUGUGGAAGCCAUGAAGAUGUCCCGUCGGUUGCUCACCUUCAUGGCCUCGCGGGGAGGCACUAAACACACCAGGAGCGAGCAGUGAUUCUGAGGGGCUGCUUUGCUUCAUUCCUCUGGCUGCUCCCUCUCGAGCUCUGGCAGCUCAAGAUGUGAAGUUUUAUUUCAGCCAGUCUGGUUCCUACUGCUUCUCCCCACCAGCUAUUUGUAUCUGGAAAGGAAGAGAAAAAUACUGACAUAAUUUGCUGGUCCCUGGAAUGCCAGUUUUUUUAUUCAGCUGCCAGGGUCUAUGGUUACCUUUAGCCAUAGCUUUUAAAGGCCUUUUUGGCUGGAUGGCGGGGACAAGCCCUCCAGGAAAAAGCAGUGGUAAGUGGAGGCUCAUGAUAAAUAUUUUGUACUGUCUGUGGUCAUGUUGUCUGUUCUCCUUCAGUGCAUGUAUCACGUAAAAAUGUUCUAGUAAAGCUGUUGCCCCCUUGGUGGUGAGUUGAAGCCUGUUUAUUUCUAGCUUUCCUAAAUGCAUCUCACAGCCCCGUUCUGCGCCCGGGAGCGGAGCCUGAAGAGCCCUGUUCAGUGCAAUGGAUUGUCUUCUGCAGCUCACUGCCACCCC